UCUGGUUCAACAAAACCAAAACAAGCAGCACGAUCAAAAAAUUAAUCAUUCCUACAAAACUGUUCAUAACAAAAGAACAAUUACUCACGGGGCAACUUCAGUAGGGCUCCCCCAGUUACCAGAGCCAGAUCCAUCACGCUUAAUGUCAUUUCUUAUGCAUACAAAAUGAGGUAUUAGUCACACAACCAAACUACAUUAAAACCUGCACAGGUAAUAAUUAAACUUAUUACUUCCAAGGAAAUACUAACCCGCGUCCACUACCGCUGUGUCGAUCAUACACCCUCUUAUGACGCUCACCACCUUCUCCAGUUUCCUCACCACGGCGACCUCCACGGUAGUUACCGUCACGAGGCCCACCAUAGUUGCUACGCCUCUCAGACGGCCUCCGAGAUUCACCACCCUCUUCAGAUUGCUUGUACACAUAGCCAUUGCUAUUACCAAACCCAGCCUCAUUGUUAUUGGAACCUCC
rnacentral:lncRNA from 1 species